rnacentral:lncRNA from 1 species
GUUUUUUUAGAAUCCCUUAAUUUUUAAAAUAUUAAUGAAACAGCUGCGAGAUAUCUUGUACUAUUCCAGAACAUCUUCAUGCAUUCUUAGAUACACAUUAGAUACACAUUAAGUGUGAAUAUACAGAUUUUUGACUAAUCAUGGAUACGAAUAUUAGUUAACAGAACUAAAAUUUGGUGACAUAGGUCACAUUCCAUAAUCCUGUAAAUAAGCCAGCUAUGCUCUGAUGGCAUUUUACCUGGGGGGGAGGGGGGGGGGAAAGAGGUGCUUUGUACAGUUUUUCCUUAAGGUAAUGCACAAAAUACAAGUUAUACAUAUGCUGUUUUAUAGUCCUAGACAUACCCCCAUAGCAUCUCACAUGGCCAUGAGUUCCCUCACAUGGCCGUGGAAGCUAGGCAGUACACAGGGAAGUACAUAGGAAGUAUAGGGAAGUACUGAGACCACAGCUAAGAGUCAAAAUUAAAUAAGUUUCAUCAGUUUUAAUGGGUGUAUUUGUAAUUUAAGGUACUAUUUUCUUUUUUUUUCUUGUGCAUUUAACUGCCCAACCAAACAGUUGCUUUCAAUUAAUAGCUGAUCAGAUUUUAUGUUCAAUUUAAAUCCAACAUCUUUAAAUAGCUCUAACAUAGAGUUCAAAUUGCAAUUGCCAGCAAGCAGUUCUCACUAAGACUCAUUCACACUCACUCCAAAUAGUAUUUUGGGAUGCUAACAGAGAUUGAGAGCAUUCCUUUCUCAUUCUAUUUCAAUUUUGACAUCUGUUUGUUUGUUACCUUUUGCAUUGCCUGGCCUCCAUUUGGAAAUAGACUACAGAAACUGCAGCCACAGCAUCCCACCAGUACACAAGCAGUACCUGUGCAGAAGCUGUUCACCGCCCACAGAGGGGAAGGUGAAGCUAGCAGCAACCUGCAUGUAUGUCAAGAGCAGAAGAACAGACCAAAGUGAGCACUCUGUACUGCCACUCCAGCCAGGGAAAAAGAAGAAAGAAAAUAGAGAAACUACACAUGAAUCCCACACAGGAAAAGACCCUCCUGAUCUGCAGUGUUCUACUGAGUCAUUCUGUUCAGAAUAUAUUUGCAGUUUCUCUGGUAAGAUGCUAUUUUCCUUCUCAACACAAAAAUGGCUGCAGGCUUUUAUUCUUGUACUCACCACACUCGUACUUAACCUCUUUGACCAAGAUUUCCUACCUUUCAUUUUUCCUAGAGCAGGCUAGGAUGCCUUACCUCCUCUAUCACUUAAUAGAACUACUGCACAAACACACUUGGUCCAGGGCUUCCAAGGAAAAAGGUGCACAUCUGUGUUGCUGUACCUCCCUUCAGCAAGUCUGACAGUUGCUGCUUAAGCUUCCAGUAUUGAAUGUGGUAAUCCCCUUGUCUUUAAGUUUGCUUCUAAAAUAUGAUUUAGUGAACCUUUUUCUUCUCGUCUGCCAGUAACGGUUGUCAAAGUUCUUCAUGACCUUCUCCAAAUUAAUUCUUGCUAGCAUUCUUGUAAGUCACAUCUCACUCAGCAUGAGAUUGACACUAUUAGGUCAUAUGCUGCAAUCUUCUGCAGUCUUCCUUAUUUUUAUUUUAGUCUUGCAUGAAGCACGUAGGGACAUGUGUUGGCAGAAAAGCUGGGGUACUGUGCAUUAAGGAGUGUGCACAGGAUUUGUCUCAUAGAUCUGAAAACAGAAGGGGUCUGGCGAAGUGAGUAUUGCCAGUCAUAAACCUAAAAAAUAACACUAGGACAGAAAACAUAGUGAUAUUUUUAAAAGAUGUAGGGCCAAUGAAAGGGGUGGGUGGCUUUCUUCUAUCUUGUGGCUUCAUCUUUCUUUCAGGUUGAUUUGGGUCAUAUUUUAAAAUUCUUUCAGCAAUCAUAAUGGCCAAAACCGUACUCUUUUGUAACAUCUUCUCUCUCAUUCUCUCUUUUAAUUUGGAUUUUUAUUCUUGAAACUCUUGCACAAUCAUUGCUUGCCAGCAUCCAAGUGCUGGCAACAACACAAAACAAGAGAAAUUUCCUGGGUUUUAUAGUAACUGGCAAAGCUAUUCUCCAGGGAGAGGCAUUAGCCCUGUGCAUAAAGCUUGGAUUUCAUAUAAAACAACCCAGUUAAAUAUGCUGUCAUUUUCAUGUAUGUCUUUAUUAGCAUAGCACAAUGUUUCUUUUGAUGCUUUAAAUAUUUUCAGACAUCCUCCCAUUUAAACUUAUAAUUCUCUGUUAUUUAUGUUAAACGUUACACCAAUUUUCUUGAGGCUGAGUCAUAUUUGCCUGCAGUUGUAGCUCUGUAUUUCAUCAUCACCAGUUAGGGUUGUCUACAGCAGCACAUUACUUAAAUCUAGAUGAAAGAUAUAA